GUAGACAUAGUUUAACUAAAACACUAGAUUGUGAUCCUAGAGACAGAAGAUAAAACCUUCUUAUUUACC
rnacentral:tRNA from 1 species